GUGCUCGCUUUGGCAACACAUAGACUAAAAUUGGAACAAUACAGAGAAGAUUAGCAUGGCCCUUGUGCAAGGAUGACAUGCAAAUUUGUGAAGCAUUCCAUAUUUUU
rnacentral:snRNA from 1 species